CUGGUGAAAGGCGUUGUGGAAGGAACUUAAAGGCAACAGUUUCUCAACACAGACCUACCAGGAAAAAAAAUGAAGAAAACAUUUAGAUGAAUGUUCCGGGUUACAAUACAACCUCUGUCGACAACAAUGGUAGCAUGAUGCUGAAAACCAGAGAAAAAAUUGAAUGGCUACCAGCAACUAUUUGGCUACCAAUAUUGUUUGAAACAACCUGAAGAGUGAACACAAACUCACCACAGAAAACUUGCCGUCACCAAACCACAUGACCCAUCUAGUGCCCUCAGCCGCCCGGCUGCGUCCAGUCAUUAACCAGGAUACAAUCCGGCCUGGCCACCAGGA